rnacentral:rRNA from 1 species
UACGUAGGGGCCGAGCGUUGUCCGGAUUUACUGGGCGUAAAGCGCGCGCAGGCGGCCACUUAAGCCCGGCGUGAAAGCCCCCGGCUCAACCGGGGAGGGUCGUCGGGGACUGGGUGGCUUGAGGACGGCAGGGGCUGGUGGAAUCCCCGGUGUAGUGGUGAAAUGCGUAGAGAUCGGGGGGAACACCCGUGGCGAAGGCGGCCAGCUGGGCCGGUCCUGACGCUGAGGCGCGAAGGCGUGGGGAGCGAACGGG